CCGCUGACAGCCUGUGUUCAGGGACUUUUCUCCCGAUGACAUUUCACUUUCGCUGGCAUUUCCAGGAAGAGCAGCCGGGCCUUGACCGAUGUGUCUUGGGAGCCGAUGAGACCAGUGUGUUGCUUCCGAAGCUCCCAGCGCUCCUGUGUGUCUAGCAGGACAGUCGCGUCAAUGAACAAGAAUACGAAUCGGCCUGGCAGGUCCCUGCCCCUCGUAGCUUUCGGAGAGUGACCAACCAGAUGGGGAAUAGGAGCUGUUGGCGCGUGAAGAGCAGUGAUCACGGUAAUGCAGGAACAUCAAGAUGGUGCCGUUCCUGUUUCCAAGGCAACAACAGGUCUACACAGCAUGAAUUUACAUCUGCACCAAGAAGUACUUUAUACAACUCCUGGAAAGCAGUGAUCUGGGCCCUGAGAUGAUGUGCUCCUGAGUUGCUUCUUCUGUUUUCCAGUAACAUGUAUGAUUAGCCAUAUUCAUGAACAUCCUGAAAGUUA